UACGGGGGGAGCAAGCGUUGUUCGGAUUUACUGGGCGUAAAGGGCGCGUAGGCGGCGCAACAAGUCACUUGUGAAAUCUCCGGGCUUAACCCGGAGCGGUCAAGUGAUACUGUCGUGCUAGAGUGCGGAAGGGGCUACUGGAAUUCUCGGUGUAGCGGUGAAAUGCGUAGAUAUCGAGAGGAACACCUGCGGCGAAGGCGGGUAGCUGGGCCGACACUGACGCUGAGGCGCGAAAGCUAGGGGAGCGAACAGG
rnacentral:rRNA from 1 species